rnacentral:rRNA from 1 species
GACGGGUGAGUAACAUGUGGGUAUCUGCCCUUUGGCCUGGAAUAACACGAGGAAACUUGUGCUAAUACCAGAUAAGUCUUUACGGAGAAAGCUUUAUGCACCAUUGGAUGAGCCUGCACUUGAUUAGUUAGUUGGUGGGGUAAUGGCCUACCAAGACUUUGAUCAAUAGCUGAUUUGAGAGGAUGAUCAGCCACAUUGGGACUGAGACACGGCCCAAACUCCUACGGGAGGCAGCAGUGGGGAAUCUUGCACAAUGGAGGAAACUCUGAUGCAGCGAUGCCGCGUGAGUGAAGAAGGCCCUUGGGUUGUAAAGCUCUUUCGUCGGGGAAGAAAAUGACUGUACCCGAAUAAGAAGGUCCGGCUAACUUCGUGCCAGCAGCCGCGGUAAUACGAAGGGACCUAGCGUAGUUCGGAAUUACUGGGCUUAAAGAGUUCGUAGGCGGUUGAAAAAGUUGGUGGUGAAAUCCCAGAGCUUAACUCUGGAACUGCCAUCAAAACUUUUCAGCUAGAGUUUGAUAGAGGAAAGCAGAAUUUCUAGUGUAGAGGUGAAAUUCGUAGAUAUUAGAAAGAAUACCAAUUGCGAAGGCAGCUUUCUGGAUCAUUACUGACGCUGAGGAACGAAAGCAUGGGUAGCGAAGAGGAUUAGAUACCCUCGUAGUCCAUGCCGUAAACGAUGUGUGUUAGGCGUUGGA